rnacentral:rRNA from 1 species
UACAGAGGGGGCAAGCGUUGUUCGGAAUUACUGGGCGUAAAGGGCGCGUAGGCGGCCUGCUAAGUCGAACGUGAAAUCCCUGGGCUCAACCCAGGAACUGCGUCCGAUACUGGUUGGCUUGAAUCCGGGAGAGGGAUGUGGAAUUCCAGGUGUAGCGGUGAAAUGCGUAGAUAUCUGGAGGAACACCGGUGGCGAAGGCGACAUCCUGGACCGGUAUUGACACUGAAAAGCGAAAGCCAGGGGAGCAAACGGG